ACCCAUCUUGGUGUCGUAAAAGGAGGAAAAGUAAUACUGAAGCUGGCUUCAUGGUGCUUAUAGUCUGUGGGCUAGUUUCAAAAAAGG
rnacentral:snoRNA from 1 species